CGAUGUAUCACGUCUAUUCAUGCUAACAAAUUACAAGGAAGCUGAUUUCUAAUUCGACAUGUGCAACUAUGCUUGUGUAGUAACCUUUGGUUCUGUAAUAUUAUUAUUUAUGGUUCCGGGUUCCCACUCUUCUCCUUGUCUCUAGUUCUUCAAGUUCUGUUUUGGAAUCAAAGAUGUCAUAGUUUUAAAUUAAUGGUGUUGAUUAGAUUAAUUAAACCAAAAUGUUAAUCAUGAUUAGAAUUUCAUGUUUUUCCUUAUUAGAUUUCUAAACACUCCAACAAGUCCGCUUUCUAGAUUUUUGAAAUUACAAUAAUCCAUUUUUUCUACAUUUCAAUUAAAAACAUACACCUAAUCACAUAAAGCCAUAGAUUAUCAAGAAGAUUAAGUUCCUUUAUUACUAAUGCAGCUCUAGUUUCUUCUGACAGAUAACUAAAUUCAAUAAGUGAAUGCUCAUAUGUAUAGUAUCAAGAGAUUUGUGUUGUUUACUUACCUUGGCAAAUCUACAGAUGGUCUUCAGUUUUUAUUCUAUAGGUUAAUAAUGACUUACAGAGGCUGAUACAAAUUGGAUAACUUACGGGGUUGCAAUCGAGAGAGACUUCUCUAUGGUGAUUAACAAGAAAGAUGUAGAAAGAUAAAAAAUAGUGUAUGAGUAAAUGAUAGCUGAACAGAGAAGUUAAUGUAACAGUGAUUAGGCUAGUUAUACCUAAAUAGCAUAAAUAAAAAUUAGUUACACAUAUUUUGUAAGAGAGUUCAUUCUGUUCUUUUUCAUUCAUCUUCUCAUAGUCCAUUACUAUUUCAUUUGGGUUAAGAUUUAUCCUCAAACUGGAAAAAUUAAUAUUGUCCUUUAUCAUAUCUACUUCUAUUCACCCUUCACCCCGUACUACAUGAACCAUACACAACAUAAGAUUGAUGGUAAAAUCGUGGCCGCUGGCCCAGAGAGAGGGAAUUUCGGAAGGAAAAUUAGAAACUUAUACAACAUAGUCAAACUGUAUUGCUCGGACUCUUCAAAAGUGUAGCCGCACCGGUGUCGCAUCCUCCAAAAAUGCACUUCUUUGGAGGACCCAACACACAUCCAAUGGCAUAUUUGAAGAGCCAGAGGCAAUAUAGUAGUAAACUAUAUGGCGUCACAGCAAUGGAUGGAUUUCUCAUAGAGAUGAGCGUGAGUGCAUCAUAUUGAAAUCAGAAUAAGUAGAACUAUGGUCAAGGGAUGAGGUUGUGCUUUAAAUUGUCACUGAAAAAAGGGUUUUCGAUUGAUUGUCAGUUGAUAGCACCAAAACAUUUCAAUGGACUACCUCCUUCAUCCAUUAUCGGCCAGAAUACUUGACAAAUAAAUGUGGCAGCUUCAUCCAUUAUCGACCAGAAUGCUUGACAAAUAAAUGUUGCAUCUUCAUAAAUAAGAGUUAGUUACACAUAUUUUGUAAGAGAGUUCAUUCUGUACUUUCUCAUUCAUCUUCUCAUAUUCUCAUAUGCCUCUUCCAUAACCCAAAUCACUCUAAAAACAACACUUUCUUGUUACGCUGCCUCUACUAUAACCGAAAUUACUCUUGAGGACUAAGUAAUCGAGUCAAAAUCACGCCAAUUAACCAUACCCGCACACAUAAGAAACCACAACAUCAAUCCUUAUAAAACCACCAUGAAAAGGGCGAGGGUUAGCAAUAGUUUGACGACUAACGCAAGAACGAUCUAUAAAAACCAUCAACAAUUACGUACUAAACCUCAAACCAUUCUGAAACAAGGUAACAAAAUCCCUAACUAUUCAUUCACAUUUUGGGGAAAAUAAAGAAGACCCAAGACAUCCAUAGAUUCAAAUACCAUUUUACAUAUAAAUAAGAAAAAAAUUAAAACAACCUUACUUGAAAUGGAGAUAGCUUAUUUAGAUUUGGAGGAGAGAGUUUCAAAGCUAGAGAAUGAUAUUUCGAGAGAGUGGCGGCUUUGGGAGAGAGUGUUUGUGCCGAAUUUGAGAGAGGGUCGGUUUGAGAGAGCUGCCUAUUUCAUUUGGGGUUUUCUAUUAUUUUAAUUAUAAUAAUAAAUAAUAAAUAAUAAAUAUUAAAAAAGUUAACUAAAUAUAUAUUUUUCCCUUACACUUCAUAAAAUAGUGACACACAAUUAUUUUUGAUAAUAAAUAUUAAUUUAUUAAAAUUUUAGCAACCUCAUGAGGUCGCAAUGUUUAAAAUUUUAUUAUUAUUUUGACGCUAACUUUUCUCGCAUUUUAUUUUUGACCUUUUGAAGUCUCUAAUAUUGUGUCGUUCAAUUUAUUUUAUCAUUUACCGACUUCAUGAGGUCUCUUUUUUUAAAAGAUAAUUAAAAGAACAAACUGAAGGGAUAAGCGACCUCACGAGGUCUCUUAUUUUCAAUCUAUUUUGAGGUCUCUUUUUUUUGUCUCUUUUUAUAGCUGUUUUAGUAGUGUAUAAUAUCUGAAUAACUCUAACUAAUAAUCAAGGAAUUCCUAAUUUAUUAUAUCAAAAUUUGCAAUUUAUAUAUAGUGUGCAUUACUGAAGACCAUGAUGGUUAACCCAUAGUCAUGCCUCUCCAACCUUCAUGUAUUUUCAUUUUUCUUGUGACACCUAUUGGUCCCCUAAAACUUAUUAGUAUUUAAUUAAGCAAAAAUGAAAAUUGUAAUAUCUUAAGUGAGUAUAAAAUUUACUACAAAAUCUUUUUUUAGAAUGAUGAUGUUCGGACUAACUUGUAUGUAUCUCAAUUAAUUUUAAUUGAAGAUUAUUUUUCACCACCCACAAUAAAUAUCAGAUAACUAUAUCCACUAAGAUUGUUGAUUCUUUCGAUCAAUAUACAAAAAAAGUUCAAACAUGAUAUAAAUAUAUGUCGUAGAUAAUGCAACAUUUAAUGCAACAUGAAUAAAGUUCAAUAAUUUUGCUGAAGAUGUUUCACUUAAAUGGAAAGCUAAUAUAAUUUGGUAACAUGUUGAACAUCUCGACCAAAAGAAUUCGAUUCAGAAAAUAAAAAUCUAAAACAACCGCUCAUAUUAGAAUACACACCUUAGUUCUAAAUUGCACUCAAAUUUCAUUCAUCUCAGAUGAAUGUGACCAUAGAUGAAUGUGACCAUAAAUCACUAGAGAAAGGAGAAUGCACAAAAAAAUAGGUAGUUGCAACAGACAAUGUUAUAUCAUCUCGUCAAAUAAUUUAGUCGCCCAAUAUAUACACAGAAUGCCAUGUAUAUAUCGGCUAUGUUAUGUAUAUUAAUAGAGAGAGAGUAAAGUAAUUUAAAAAGUGGGAGAGAGUGUAAUUACUUUCAAAAGGAUUGGUAUUUAUGUUAUUUAUACUUGCUUUUUUCAACAACUUUUUUUUUAACUAAUCUAUUUUUUAAAAAACAAAUUAAAUGCAAUUGUGUGUGUAUAUAUAUAUACCUAAUAAUAAAGCGGAAAAGGACAAAAAUAACACCUAAAAUUAAAAUAAUUUCACAAAACUAGCACCUAAAUUUAAAAACACAGUGAAUAGCCAUUAAGGGAUGGGUACAUCACAAUUCGGCCCUUCCGUUUUAUGUACAAGACCUAGGGUAGGUAUAUUUUGGUUUAAACCGAAAAAAUCGAAAAACCAAACCGAAAUUUAAUUUUGAUUUCGAUUUUUCAGUUUUUCGGAUCGGAUUCGGUUUGUAAUUUUAAAAUUUCGAUUUUUCGGUUUGGUUUUUGUUUUUGUUUUUUUUUUAAAAUGGGUUUAACCAAAAAACCAAAAUUUUAUAAAUAAAUAAAUAGCAUAUAUAUUUUAUUAUAUAUAUAUAUAUAUAUUAUAUAUAUAUAUAUAUAUAUAAUAUAUAUAUAUAUAUAUAUCUAUUUAUGCAAGAUUAUAUUAUAUGUAAUGAUUAAUGACGUUAUAUAUUAUGUUAAGCUUAUGAUUAUUUUUUUUCAUUUCAUCCAUGUUGAGUUAUUUAUAUUUGGGAAUGAAAAAUAGGUUUGAAAAAAAUAUUUUUUCUAAAAAAAUUCAUCAAUUUUAAAUGCUCAGUUAUGAAAAAGAGUAGCUAACUACUUUAAUAUUUCAAAUCGAAAUAAAAAUCCGAAAUAACCGAACCGAAUUUGUAAAAAUCAAACCAAAUCGAAUUUAUUUUGAUUUGGUUACAGAUAUCAUUUUUGUCAAUCCGAAAACCGAUAUACCGAACCGAUAUUAAACAAUCAGACCGAACCGACCGAACGCCUACCCCUAACAGGGUCGAUUUUUUUAUUUUUAAUGGGCCCAUAUUUUUUUGCCUUCUUUUUUCCAUUCUUUGUUUGCUUUGAGAAAGUGAGAGGAAACUGACAACUCUUUCCACUCUCUAUGGAUUGGAAGAAAUUAUUGUCAUCCAAGACUUUGACUUUUCAGAACUUAACUUGCUGACAAUUAAAUUUCAAUUAAAAUACUUCAACUUCGUGACUUUGAGAAAAUAUUACGAGUCCGUCUAUCAUAUUUAUAUAUAAUAAUUAUACAGUUUCUAUACAUAUACAUAUUCUAUAUAAUAAUUAUAGCAUUUUUAUACACAUUCUAUACAAUUUUUAACAAUAAUUAUUAUUUAGAUACAUAUUUUAUACGACUCUAUAUAGUUUUUAUAUGCAUUCUGAAAAAUGUAUCAAUCUAGUAUAAAAGAGUAUCAAUUGAGUAUAUGGACACUUCAAGUGUAUCAAUGUAGUAUAAAAGUGUAUUAACAUGGUAUAAAAGAGUAUCAAUUGGGUAUAAGAACUGCAUAUGCUUGCAUAGAAUUUCCUUUCUCUUUUUUAAAAAGUGUAUCAAUAUAUUAUAAAAGUGUAUCAAUGUGGUAUAAAAGUGUAUCAAUUGAGUAUAGAGACUGCAUGUGCCCAAUUGAGCCAAAUGGCUAAAAAGUGGUAUUACUUUAGCCGACUGGCUAAGAAUGUCCACCUUUUCAAAUGUGAGCCAUUUUUUUUUAAAAUGACCAUCCCAUGUCCUUUCCCCAAUAAUAAUAAAGGGUAAAGGGCCUAAUGCAGUAGUGCCAAAGUAGGCAUAUUGACGUGCUGUCUGCUUUGACACUUUUUCAUUGGUCCUUUUUCCUCUGUUUAAUUUAUUUGUCUUAUUUUUUUAAUUUAUUAUAUAUUUCAGAAAUAAUUAUUAUAAGUCAUUUAGAUGUUAGAAAAUUAAUAAUAUUUAAUUAAAAAAGGUAAAGAUAUUUUUGACAUGUCUGUUUCAAUUGCUUCAACCACUAUUUUGUUAUAUCACUCCUAAUUAAUUAUUAUAAAUUAUUUACGUAUUAGAACAUUAAACAUAUUUAAUAAAAAAUAAAAUAAUCACUUAUGACAUAUCUGUUUCAGCCGAUUCAACCAUAAUUUCACUAUAUCACCCCUAAUUAAUUAUUAUAAGGCAUCUAAUUACUAAAACUUAACAAUAUUCAACAAAAAAGGUAAAAUAGAUAUAAAAUGACAACUUAACUCUUGAUGUUUUAAAAUAGACAUAAAAUGAUAACUUAACUCUUGAUGUUUUAAAUUAAGUUGACGUCUUAUAUGAGACUCACUUAAAAUUUUUUUCACAAGUAUUUUUUAUAGUAAUUUUGUUAUAUCACUUCUUAUUAGUUAUUAUAAGUCUUUUAAGACAUGCCUGCUUCUCUGUUUCAAUCAUGAUUUUACUAUAUCACCCUUAAUUAAUUAUUAUGGUCAUCUAAGCAUUAAAAAUUAUUAAUAUUUCAUAAAAAGGUAGAAUAGAGACAAAAUGAUAUGUCAACAUAAAAAAUUUGGUUGACUCUUGAAACUAUGUUAGUGCCACAAUUACUAUAUUAGCGUCACUUAAAUUGGAAUAGAAGAAAAACUAUUAUAAAUCACAAUAAUUAAAAUUUAAAUUAUUUUAAUAAUUGACUAUUUAAGAGACAAAACAAUAACAUAUAGUAUCUAAUAUAUAUAUAGAAAAUGUAUAAUUAUUGUAUAAAAUACGUAUUACUAUAAGAUAUGUAUAGAAUAUGUAUAGAAACUGUAUUAUUGUAUAACAUAUGCAUUAUAUUAAUAAUCGCAACUUAAGGUUGCGUAGAAUGUGUAUAGAAAUUAUAUCGUUGAUUUAUAACAAAUAUAUGAAUAGUUAUUGCACCUAAAGAUUGUAUAGGUUAUGUAUAAAAAUUGUAUAGUUAUCGUUAUGAUAUGUAUAAAAACUGUAUCAUUGUUUCAUAAAAAUAUAUUUUUUGGUUUCUUAUCCAUUGUCUGGUACCCGCAUUGGAGUCCGACUAAUCCGGAUUCGCGCCGUAUAGGGCCCCAUUCGGAGGGUAGCGCUCCCUUUCAAGGAUUUUUUCAUGCCUAGGGCUCGAAAAAGGUAGCCCCAUCCACUGCACCACAUCCUUUGAUGGUAUUUAAUACGUAAAAAUAUAUUUCACAAGACUGUAUUAUCUCAUGUAUGUAUUGUAUUAUAUAUUUGUAUCAAUGUUUUAAAAUACUCAAAUAUGUAUAUUAAUAAUAGAUUUGAAAGUUGAAGCAAUACAUUAGAAUAAGAAGAAAAAGAUACUCCCUCCAUUUCAAAAAUAAUGAUCUACUUUGACUUGACACAAAGUUUAAGAAAAUAAAGAAGACUUUUGAAUCAUGUGACCUUAAAUUAAAGUUGUGUCAAAUGUAUCAAAAUGCCCUUUAAUCUUGUGGUUCUAAACAUAACAUGUGGAAAGUUGAAAUUAAAAUAUUGCCAAAAAGGGAAAGGAGUCAUUCUUUUUGAAACGGACUAAAAAGAAAAGUAGGUCAUUUUUUUUGAAGCGGGGGGAGUGUCAUUUUUUAGAUACACGUUUCUUUUAUCAUAUAUUCAUUGAUAUUUUUUCUCCUUUUUAAAAUAUAUUUGAAAAAAUAUAUUUUUUUUUCUAUUUUGAUUGAAGAAAAAUGCUACUUAGUAUAUAAUUUGUGUUUAUAUGUAUAGUUAAUGUGUAUAUAUUGUCCAUUACCUAUAUAUUGACGAUACAUUUAUUACACACAAAUUAUUAUAUUCAAAGAAUUCAUACGAAAAUUUAUAGUGUAUUAAUUUUUUCUAUUCAAACUAUGAAUUAUUGAGAAAAAUAAAAAACACGAUUAAAUUAUACUCCCUCCGUUUAAAAAAGAAUGACCUACUUUCCUUUUUAGUUUGUUUAAAAAGAAUGACCCCUUUCAUUUUUUUGGCAAUAUUUUGAUUUUAACUUUCCACAUGACAUGUUUAUGAUCACAAGAUUAAAGAGCAUUUUGGUACAUUUGACACUACUUUAAUUUAAGGCCACAAGAUUCAAAAGUCUUCUUUAUUUUCUUAAACUUUAUGCUAAAUCAAAGUAGGUCAUUCUUUCUAAAAUGGAGGGAGUAUUUGAUUUCACAAAACAUAGAAGAGUAAUUUUUUAUUUUUAAAUAUGAACAACAAAUAACUAGAAGAAAUAAAAAACUAGCCAAAGAUUAAUAAAGANNNNNNNNNNNNNNNNNNNNNNNNNNNNNNNNNNNNNNNNNNNNNNNNNNNNNNNNNNNNNNNNNNNNNNNNNNNNNNNNNNNNNNNNNNNNNNNNNNNNNNNNNNNCCAGUAGAGACCAAAAUAAAAAUGAAGUGGGCAAUGAAAAUUGACGGCUAAAACAUGAGAAUUGUUAUGAAAUAUAAAACAAAUAAAGAAGAAGAGUAGAGAGAGAAGAUAUGAGACUUUUUUAUUUCUUAUGAGGAUUUCUUGAGGAGUCCUUGAGCAUGAUUUACAAUGAAGGCAAUCCUUCUAUUUAUAGGAGAAAUUUACCCCUAGUUUCUGACUAAAAGACAGAUACUUCAAAUCCUGACAGAUAUCAACUAGAUCUUGAUAGAUCUUAUUAGAUCUUAUCUAUAUAUGCAUUCACUAUAAUGUAAAUACAUUUAUAACACUCCCCUUGAAUGUCUAGUUGAUAGAUAAUGUGCCUCAUUAAAAUCUUACUAGAAAAAAUCAGUGGAAAAAAAUCUAGUAAAGGAAAAAGAGUACACAUUCUAACAAUACGCAUAUAGGCUGCCUCAUUAAAAACCUUAAAAGAAAAACUCAGUGGAGAAAACCUUGUAAGGAAAAAAGAGUAUAGAACGUAUUUUCUCCCCCUGAUGAGAACAUCAAUGAACUUUUACAUCCCGAUCUUGUGCACCAUCUUCUUGAAAGUUGCAAUUGAAGAAGACUUGGUGAAUAAAUAAGCCACAUUAUCACUUGAACAAAUCUAUUGCACAUUAAUAUCAUCAUUCUUUUGUAUCUCAUGUAUGUAGAAAAGUUUUGAUGAAGUGUGCUUCAUUCUAUCUCCUUUUAUGAAUCCUCUAUUAAGAAGUGCUAUGCAUGCUGCAUUAUUUCUGUAUAAAAUUGUGGAUGGAUUGUCACAUUUCAAAUUACAUUUUUCUCAAAUGAGAUGUAUCAUGGACCUCAACCAUAUACAUUCUCGGCUAGCUUAAUGGAUAACUAUUAUCUCAUCAUGGUUCAAUAAAGUGGCUAGAUAGGCUGCUUUGUAUAUCUCCAAGAUAUGACAGUAUUCCCACAUGUGAACAUAUUGUAUGUUUGAGACCGAGAUUUAUGUGGGUUAAAUAAAUACCCAACAUCAGCAUAAUCAAUAAGAUCAAGACUGCAACCUGUAAAGUAAUAUAAGAUCAUGUGUUUGAUCCUAUUUUGAGGUCUCCUAGUAGGAACAAAACUAUACCUUGCUAAUAAAUUAAUCAAAAAGGCUAUAUCAGGCCUUGUAGUAUUUGCAAGAUAUAUUUUGUCAAGUGACAAUAUUUAACUUUUCAUGUGUGACAUCAUGAAGUGUGUGGAGUGCAAAUCAAAUAAGUUUUCACUUACCAAGAUGCAUCCUUUCAUGUCACUUGAUAAAUAUUUCUAUGUCAGCAUGUUUAAAUUAACGUAGAAUUCAGAUCUUCGUAGUCUUUUACAAUAUUGAGCCAAUAUUGUAUCAAAGAUAUCAUUGAUGAUAUAUCAUUUUGUAUCGGUUCACAAUGUGGAAUAAUAUUUUGAGAUCUCAUUACUUCAUUAUUUUGGGGUACCUAAACCUCUCAUAAGGUUUCAUGAAGUUUUAUGUCGUAGGCUUUUCAAGAGCGCAUUGCCUUCUUAUUAUGAUUAUUUUCUCCUUAUCCUUUUUAUGGAUCAUUUCAUUUGGAAUGGAUUUGUCUACCAUGUUUUAUGCAUGCAUAGACUUUGUCCUUUAAGGGCAUAAAAUAGGAGCACUUGCAACUUAAAUAUGACAUGCUUCGGCAUUGACUUGAAUUAUCUUUUAAAUGAAGAUCUGAUGAUAAUUCCUUACAUAUUUCAUAGCUGCUUAUAAUCUACCCCUUAUGUUAGGAAAACUAACAUACAUCCUCUAUCUUCUUUGAGGAAUCUAUCUUUGUUCAUCAUGAUAUAUUUAUUAAUCGUAUACCACACAUUAAAACUAUUAGAUGAAAUAGUUGGUUCCUAACCUUGAACCAAUUGAGAGAGAAGAAAUAAUCAUAAUUUAUUGAUCUAAUGCAUACAAGUGUUAUUGUAUGCAACAUAUUGUAAUGCCCCAAGAACCUAUCCCGAGAUGUCACAUGGUGCUCAAGGCCACACGUGGCCUCAAGCUAACCCUCUAAAAUUGUCAUCACUUUUAGAACUCAUUAUAGCAGAAAUCAUGCUAAGAUAAAGAGGAAUAACCAUGUCAUGAACAUACUGAAACAUGAAAUAAUACUGCCCGUACAAAUAAAAUAUUGAAAUCUCUGUACACGCUGGUACACUAGUCUGACAAAGCCUCUACUACAUAGGACUGAGGAGCCAUUGGGACAGAUCCCUAACUGACUCAUACUAAACUGAAAGUAAACAACCAUCUAUUAACAAGACAAAAUUGGACACACAGGUCCUUGAACUAUGAGGACUCACCAACCCGCAGAAAUAUAGAUGAAGGUACUCAAAGAUCACUGUCGCUGCUGAGACUGAGCACCUGAACCUAUAUCAUGAGGAAAUAUAGAAUACAAAAGAGUAUGGGAGUCAGUACUUGGGAAUGUAAUGAGAAUAUAGGGGUGGAUGCAACAUUUUAAAUAAUAUCAUAAAUGUAUAAGAAAAUCAUGCAUGCUGACAAUAAUAACUCUCUUCGCUUGAAUUAUCUAAAACACUAUUUCGUAAGUCAUCAGUAAUAACAUAUGCUUCAUAAAUCUCAUAAAUCAUUUAGCUCAACUCAAACUCUUUGAAUCAUGACUUAGAGUGACUCAGUAUCUCAUGGUACUUAGAUCAUUAUGGACGUGGGAGUUUCUUACAACCGACAUAACUACUCCAUGUGAGCCGUAUAGAGUCCAACGUUUUGCCCUCCUAAGGAGAGAACCCCACAUUAGCAGAGCUGUCGUACUCUUGCCAGGGAGUACAACCUUAAUCUCAUCUUCACAAUCUCAUACUCGGCCUUUGGCCCACAAUUAUCAACAUCAAUCCUACGGUGGCAUGUAGUUUUCGGAAAAUACUAAAUUUCCUGCUUGGUGCAAAAUACUCCUCUCAGACUCAGCUCAGAACGCGUUAGGAAAUCCACCUCAAUCAAUAUCAACUCAUGGGUCUAUCAUGAUGACCAAAACAACAGUAUAUCUCAUCGGUAAAUUAUAUACGACUGUGGAUUCCUAACUCGACCCAAAAUCAAAACAAUCUUUCUCAGCAUCAAGUACCUUUGCUUAUCAAAUCAUUUCAAAUAUCAAAAGCUUCAAGGAAACAUCAUAGGACUCAUUCUCGACUUUCAAUCUCAAAUAUCGAUAUGUAUUCAAUAGUCAAAUCUCUCAUAGAAGAACAUAAAUCUUGACACUUAUCAUAAAUCACUUAGAAAUCAUCAAUAUAUAUAUAUAAUGACAAUAUACAACUCAUGGAGUAAAUACUCAAUUUAAGAAGCAUGAUGGUGAAAUAACCAUAAAUAUCAAGCUUAUUCAACUNNNNNNNNNNNNNNNNNNNNNNNNNNNNNNNNNNNNNNNNNNNNNNNNNNNNNNNNNNNNNNNNNNNNNNNNNNNNNNNNNNNNNNNNNNNNNNNNNNNNNNNNNNNNNNNNNNNNNNNNNNNNNNNNNNNNNNNNNNUAUAUAUAUAUAAAAAAUAGCAAUAUACAACUCAUGGAGUAAAUACUCAAUUUAAGAAGCAUGAUGGUGAAAUAAUCAUAAAUAUCAAGCUUAUUCAACUCAAGUCUCAUAAAUCAUUAAUAGAGAAAUUUGGGUGUAAACCCACUUGAAAUAUCAUGUAAAUCAAUAAUAGAAAGUAAAUCUUUAGGCACAAGAACGAAAGAAGUGUUCUUGUUCAAACCCCACAUACCUUAGAUUUAGAUUUUGAAGAUAUAGAAACUUGCUUGAAACUUCUUUCUCACACUUAUAGAUCAAGACCAUGUUGCCUUUGAAUUGAGGAGCUUAGUUCUUGAACAACUUGAAGAAAUUUAUGGGAGAUUUCUUGAAUUUCUUGGAGAUGAUUUGAUUUUUGGGUUCGGAAGAAACCCUAGGUUUCUAGAGAAUUCUUGAAAGAAAAUUGGAGAGAAAUGGAGAAAAAUGAUCUUUUCUUCUCUACAUAGAUAUAUAUAAGGCCACAAGGAGCGAAAAUGACCAAGAUGCCCUUUUAAAAAAUGCUGAAAUUUGCUGAUCUGACGGUCCGUCAGAUUAGCUGACGGUCCACUAGGUCGUCCAUCACUUGAACACAAAAAUUGGAAAGUUCUACCUCGACAUGACGGUUGACCUGACGGUCCGUCAGAAAAGUGACGGUCCACCAAGUCGUCCGUCACUUGAGGGCCAGAAAUGAGACAUUUUGUCUUGGUCUGAUGGACACCUUGACGGUCCGUCAACUUUGUGACGGUCCACCACUUUGACCGUCACACGACAUCCCAAAAAGGGAGCUACUUCCUUGGCUUGACGGGACACUUGACAGUCCACCAAGGACCUGACGGUCCACCAGGUCGACCGUCAAACUUGGGCUAUCCGAUAACAUUCAGUAAAACGGCCAUAACUCACUCACCCGAUGUCGGAUUUUGAUGAAAUUGGUAUUGAUGGAAAGCUUAUUCAAUGCUCUACAUGAAAAAAAGUGCAAAUUAGAGAAAUACAACAUGGUUUAAACAUCAAUCACUUUGGAAGUCAUACAUAUCCAUGUAAAAAGACAGAUUUAGGCUUAAGGAAUGAUCGAGGUAUUACACAUAUCAUAUUUCAGACCAACACAUGAAGUUUUGUUCUCCUUAGAAAUAGUUUAGCUAUUUAUCGAAAAUAUUCAAUGCCAAAAUAUUAUCAUUAAGAUGAAUUGUCAUGAUUACACAAUCUGAAAGUUAUGCUCUUAACAUAAUUUUAUUGAGCAAACAACUUUAUGUAUGUCAAACGCAGGUCGACAAUAAAUGUACAUGUGAUCAUCUUAUUAAUGCAUGUUUUCAACAUAUCACAUGAUAGAUGAACGGACCCAUAUUCACCUUUUAUAAUUUUUAUAUUUUGAGGGAUCCAAUCCCAACAUUAGUUAGUCCAACCAACUUAUCAUGAGAACACACAAUAUUAAAAGUAAUGAAUAAUUUUCUAAUUCUUCAAUAUAUGUUCAACACUCAGUAUGCAUAUCUUUGGGAUGUCGCAAUCGUUCAUGUUAAUUUAUGAACUUUUAUUCUAGCAAACUCUAAGUUUACCACGACAUGUAUCUUUUACUUUAGUAAAUUUCAGAUUUACUAUUACAUGAAUAAAUUUCAGAUUCACUACCUUAUAAGUAGAUUUCAAAUAACUCUUCUCAGUUAUUCAGCCUCUUUCGGAGGUAAAUUGUAAUACCAUCACAAUCAAGUGCACGUUUGCAUUAAUAAACUUCUCAUUCUCCAGAAAUGAAAUAUAAUCGUGCCUUAAACUUAUCAAAUUUUGAUAGUUUAUAACCUUUUUCAUGAUAUUUCUAAUUUAAGAGCAAAUCGAGGUGUGCAUAUAAUGUAGAUAAUUUUUCUCACAUAUCUUUCAGAGUAUAUCCUAUAUUGCUACCACAUUCACUUCUAGAAUUGAGCAAUUUUUCAUCUUUCAGACUUGUCAUAUAUUGACACCACAUAUUGCUACCACAUUCACUUCUUAGAAUGAAACAUAUUCAAUGGACAAGUUUCAACACCUUUUAUCAAGUACACAUUAUUUUGCCUUAGCAUCAUUAUAUCAUCAAUAUGGUGCAUUGCAAUUCAAACUCAACGUCUUAUCCAUAUAAAGGCGUCUUAGGCAUAAAUCAAUAGGACUUUAACCCAACAUCGUAUCAUCGCAGUACAUCGUAUUAAUUCGAAAUUGAUGUAUUAACCACAUCAAAUACUACUUAUGGGAACUUUUAAAUAUUGGUGCUUCAGAACUUUGCAGUACGACAAGAUUAGUUCAGGCUAUGUAAAACUACAUAGCAAAAGCAAAUUCAUAAAAUUUUCAACCUGCAGAAGACAAAUUAAAGGAAUAUAUAUAAAAGUUAAAUGGACAAAUUGUGAUGUGUUACGGGCACAAUCUCAUGAAUAAUGAAUAACUAUACGUGUAUAUAAGGAUUGAAAUUUAAUCAAUUGUCCUGGCAAAAGAAUAACUUAAAAUUCAAACCUAUUUAGCCAACUACCAGAGACAAUUAUCUUAAAUGCAUAUGCAUAUGUUUAUAUCUUUUAUUUUUCUUAAAAUUUGUAUUAGUAUUAAAGACUUGUGAUAUCUUCUACUAUAUAAUAUUACAAAGAAUAUUAACUUGAACAUAAAAAGAAAGAUACAAUAUUACAAGAAUAUUAACUUGAACAUAAAAAGAAAGAUACCACUUGAUAUUUUCUUUUCUCUUCACAGCUUAAAGUGCUCAAGUCAGAGUCUCGUACUGAGAACGUGUUAUAAAAUAUAAACCAAAUAAAGAAGAAGAGUAGAGAGAGAAGAGAGGAGACAUCUUUAUUUCUCACGAGGAUUUCUUGAGGAGUCCUUGAUGAUGAUUUACAAUGAAGGCAAUCCUUCUAUUUAUAGGAGAAAUUUACCCCUAGUUUCUGACUAAAACAUGGAUACUUCAAAUCCUAACAUAUAUCAACUAGAUCUUGAUAGAUCUUAUUAUAUAUUAUCUAUAUAGACAUUCAGUAUAAUGUAAAUACAUUUAGAACAAAAAUCAAAUUCCUGAGCCAUUCGGUGGGAUUAAUUUCAACCCUUAAAAAUCUAUAUCUAUAUCUAUCUAUAAUCUAUAAUCGAUAUCUAUAUCUAUAAUCUAUAUCAAUAAUCUAUAAUCUAUAAUCUAUAAUCUGUAAUCUAUAUCUAUAUAUCUAUAUAAUAUAAUAAUAUAUUAAAACUGUGAAGACCCUUAGAAGAGUGAUUUGAACUUUUUACCCUUCAUUAUAAAACUCUUUUUUAGACAAAAUUGUCUUUUCACUAUUUUUUAAUCUAUUAUUUAAUUAUUUUUUAUUAUAUUAACUAGACUUCUUAAAAUAUAUGAGACUCCUAAAAUAUAUGGUAGAAGAAUUAAUUACUAAUAUUUUCCUUUCUACUAGACUUUCUAAAAUAUAUGAGACUCCUAAAAUAUAUGGUAGAAGAAUUAAUUACUAAUAUUUUCCUUUCUACUAGACUUUCUAAAAUAUAUGGGACUCCUAAAAUAUACGGUAGGAGAAUUAAUUAAUAUUUUUAUUUUUACUGUUCAAUUGGAAAAAUACUCCUAAAUUAGGACUUUAUUAAGAAAAUACUUCUAUAAAUAUUGAGAUGUGCGUUAAACUAGAGAACAAACCGGUUUGCCUAUUAGGAGAAUAUGAAUGAUGCUGAUCUAACUUGAUUCGAUUGCAUAUCUAGAUUGGUGGAUGCUUGAUUUUCUAACUCUUAACUUCUUCAGUGUUUUUGUCAGCAUAAUAGAAUUUAACAUGUGUGUAUAUAUAUUUCUUCUUUGUUUUCAUUUAAAAUCAUUCUUUAGGAUCAAAAUUUUCGCUCAGACAAGAAUUAGUUGGAUCAAAAUCGAAGCUUUGUGAUCACUAUUAUAUUUUUUUAUAGUUUACAGGUUGUAGAUGAAUGUCAGUUGGCUUUGAAGAAUUUAUUGCGUAAAAGUUAGGUUUAAUUGUACUAUUUUAAUAUCUUUAUUAUCUUAUUAUUUUAUUUUAAUUUACAGAUGCUAGAUGAAUAUGUGUCGGCUUUGAAAUAUUUUUUUAGGUAAAGGUUAGGUUUAAUUGUAUUAUCGUAAUAUCUCUUUUUAGUUUGUAUUUUGUGAUAUUUUACAGUUCGUAGAUGAAUCUCGAUCGGCUUUGAGAAAUUUUUGUGUGUAAAAUUUAAGUUUAAUUGUAUUAUUUUGAUAUCACUUUUAUCGUAUUAUUUUGUUGCAGUUUACAGGUGAAAGAUAAAUGUUGGUUGGCUUUGAGAAUUUAUUUUAAGUAAAAAUUAGGUUUAGUUGUAUUAUUUUGAUAUCUCUGUUAUCGUAUUAUUUUGUUAUUAUUUACAGGUGGUAGACAAGUAUCGGACGAAUUUGAGAAAAUUUUUGUGUGUAAAAAAUAGAUUUAAUUGUAUUAUUUUGAUGUCUCUAUAAUUGUAUUGUUUACAGAUGAUAGAUGAAUGUCGAUCGACUUUUAAAAAUAUUUUUGAUAAAAAUUAGGGUUAAUAAAUAAAUUCUCCAACUUUACAUACUCAAAAGAUAUUAAAUUUAAUUAUUAUAUUCGUCUUUAUUAUUUAAACAAAUAUCCUAUUUAAUGUAAUGUUUGAAUUCAUUAAAGUGAGGUACGCGCGCAAGGCGUGUACACCUAAACUAGUUUAUAUAUCAACACCAAAAACUAGAAAUAUAUAAAUAUAAAAGAAAUAUAUAUUUAACUAUUUAAUAUAAACCUUAGCUGAAAAAUAAAUAUUUUAAAUUAAUAAUUAUUUAAUUAGUGAGCAGAUUAGAUUGAGAAAUAAAAUUAUUGGUGAAAUCAAAAAUAUAAUAUGGUCAAAUAUGCAUAAAUAAAUUAUUGAAUUGAUAUUCUAUUUCUUUUUUCUGUUUAUAUCUUAAAGAACUAUAUUUAUAAGUCGUAUGAAAAGAUAUUUGGCAUGUUGAGAAGUCGUGAUUUGAAAUUUGUACACACCUAAUUUUAUCCUUCCCAAAAAUCAAUUAACCCAUUUUUUACCUCACAUUAUCAUACACCCUCACCCAUGUGAUUAUACCCUUACAAAAAUAGCAAAAUUUCAAUAAAUUCGUAACAAAUUAAAUCCCUAAUUUUCUCUUAUCCUAACAAACUUUAUCUCAACUAACUAACCCCCUCAUUCCAUCCCCCACAUACCCUUAGCUACAUGUCCCCACCCCCACCCUACCUUACUAUUCCCUUUACACGUUCUUUUUCAUCAUUUUUCUUUUAAAAAGGGCAAUGGACACAUAACAGGGGAGGGGGAAUACACCGAAGCAAAAUGAGAUUUUCCAUUUUUAGAGGGGGGACUACAACACCACAAUAAGAAUAGAGAAACAACCAUCAUCUUCUCCAGGAGAAAAACUCCAUUUUUUUCUUUAUAUACACACUUCACACAUCAUCACAGAGGAAACCCAUCACCCAUAACAAAAAGGGAAUCCUCCAUUUGUUUCAAUGUACACAGAUUGACACGACAACAAUUUCAAACACACAGCAAAUCGACACAACACCAGCAGUAACAGUAUUACCAUUCUUACUGCUAAACAGAGACCCAAAUUUCCUUUGAACGCAAUCUAUACGCACUCACCGAGCAUACACACACUUCCAUCAGAUACACACAUAUACGAAUGAGAGAGAUCCUGAGAGAGAGGACAGAGAGAAGAGAAUAAGUAAGCGAGAAAGCUGAUCGGAGAAGUGACGAGAAAAAGAAAAAACUGAUCGGAAAAUAGUGAAACACCGGCGAGAAACAGACCUGUUCGUGUAAAGUUUGGUGUGGGUCAUUCUCUCUUAGCAAUUUUAGUUCGAAUUAGCAAAAAAUAGGAUUGGGUUGGAUAGCUGGGUUUUUCGAUUGGCGAGUUUUCUUGUGGAGGUUGAUUCGAGGUUUCGGACACGGAUCCUAUCUUUUUGAUCGAGUGAUACUUGAUUAUGAUAAUCAAUUGAGGUCCGAUUCUACUCCUUCACUUUUUUAUUUUUUUAUCUAUCGUAUUCGAUGCAUUGAAUUGAGUGUCAUUGCUUGAUAUUUGGUGGUGAUGAAUCAUUGUUUUUUUUGAUUUGUGGUUGGGUCCCUUGAUUAUGACUUGUAUAGUGAAAUGGUAUGUCGUUUGAGAAUUAAAAUGGGUUGUUUGAGGCGGAAUUGAAAUUGAUAAAAGUGAAAGUGUAUUUAUUUUGAUUCAUUGUUAGAGAUUUAAUUCAAAAUAAAUAUGGAUGUUGUUAAACGCAACAGUAUCAUGAUAGAGUAAAAUUCAUAGGCAAACGGUAGGUUGGGUAAGCAAAUUUUUAGAAAUUGUGGAAUAUUGAAUGCUUGAAACAUGUGUUGAAUGACUUAGUUUUAUUUCUUUUGAAUCAAAUAUAUCAGUGGCCGGGAAAUGCCCUGAGGUAUUUGUGUUUAUUCGACAGGAUUUCACCGAGGUAUUUUGUAGCCGGAGGAUGUUAGUGACAAAGGCCCGAGGCAUCGGGUGGAGCUUAGUCUAGGAUUAGUUUAGAAUAGGAUUUAUACUUUUUGCAUUUUUCUAUUUUGGACUGUAUAAUUAGAUUGGACACUAUAUUUUGGAUUGUUUUGUUUUGUUUGUUUGACUAAUUGUUUUACAUAUUUUUUGUGUGGUUUAUACAUUCAUCGUGCCAAAAUAGACGAUACAUUCCACAAAGAGACCGUGGCCAAACCACAGGAUCAGGGGGUUCCUAACACCUUCCCCUCGGUCAACAGAAUUCAUUAUCCGGAAUAUCUGUUCGCAGAUCAGUUUUAGAGUCAAACUAUUUUGAAAAAGGAUUUCCAAAGGUGACUUGACACACCCGAUUUAUGUCUAGUGGGGACUCUGAGUUAAUUGUAAAAUGAAUUUUUUUUGAAAUAAAUUUUUCAUUUUUGUCACUUUAAUAAUAAAAACCCUUUCAAACUUUAAAAUUAAUCUUUUUGGUUAAAAGGAGGUGUGAUAGCACUGGCGACUCUGCUGGAGAUUUUUCAGAAUUCAAGCUUAUUUUUGGAGUUGUACUGGCUUAGUUUGACACUAUGGAUGUAUAGACAUUUUGUUUGU
rnacentral:lncRNA from 1 species